rnacentral:rRNA from 1 species
GACGAACGUUGGCGGCGUGCUUAAUACAUGCAAGUCAACUGAAGCAGUGGUAGCAAUAUCGCUGUGGAGGUGGCGCACGGGUGAGUAACACGUAGGUAAUCUGCCUUCAGGUCUGGCAUAACUCCGGGAAACCGGGGCUAAUAGCAGAUGAUGCAGCGGCUCGACAUCGAGACAGUUGUUAAAGCUAUGGCGCCUGAAGAUGAGCCUGCGUCUGAUUAGCUAGUUGGCGGGGUAACGGCCCACCAAGGCAACGAUCAGUAGCUGGUCUGAGAGGAUGAUCAGCCACACUGGAACUGAGACACGGUCCAGACUCCUACGGGAGGCAGCAGUAAGGAAUAUUGCUCAAUGGGAGAAAUCCUGAAGCAGCAACGCCGCGUGAGGGACGAAGGGCUUUGGCUUGCAAACCUCUGUAGUGAGAGAAAAAAAUCCCAAUCUUUGGGACAUGAUGGUGUCUCAAAAGUAAGCCCCGGCUAACUACGUG